UGCAUAUCAAUAAGCGGAGGAAAAGAAACCAACAGGGAUUGCCUUAGUAACGGCGAGUGAAGCGGCAAAAGCUCAAUUUGAAAACGCUUCGGCGUGUUGUAAGUAAAGUGGUUAGACGCUUUUUAAUAAGUCCCUUGGAACAGGGCGCCAUAGAGGGUGAUAGCCCCGUAUUAAAUUGUCUAGUGUGCUACUUUAGAGCGAGUCGAGUUGUUUGGGAAUGCAGCUCAAAUAGGUGGUAAACUCCAUCUAAAGCUAAAUAUUGCUGGGAGACCGAUAGCGAACAAGUACAGUGAUGGAAAGAUGAAAAGCACUUUGAAAAGAGAGUGAAAUAGCGUGUGAAAUUGUUGGAGGGGAAGGCGAUGGUAGGAAUAAGAGGCUGCGGUUUGAAAUAAUUGUUUUUCGGGCCACGGUCUCCUGAGCCUGCUUUCGCACCCGUCUUGAAACACGG
rnacentral:rRNA from 1 species